rnacentral:lncRNA from 1 species
CCUGGCCCACGCGUGUCCCCGGCAUCAGUGUCUCGGCUCUGGUCCAGGACGAAGACUUCUGAAAGCAAGCCAAGGAGAAUCGCAGUUCUUACCGGAGGGAGCCCCUGACUGCCCGGUGGAAGGAGGUGGUUUAGAAGACAGUGAGCUACUGUUCCCUGGUUUCCUGAGGUCUGUUUCCAUUGAGAUGCAAAGGACACAGAGCUCACAGGUGCUCCAGCAGUGCUGGUGUCAUGUUUGUAGGAAGCUGUCUAUGGACUACAGUAUUUCCCAGUGCCAGUCUGCAGACACUGCACGCCUCCCAAUAGAACAUUUCUUCCUGCGCCAAUCUAUCAGUGCAGCUCAGACUCUGGAAGCAAAUGACCUCUCUUGGCAGAGCCUGCACUGUAUGGGGAACAUCAGAUUUGUGUAAAGAAGAUCACCUGUCUCUUCUCAGCUGUGCACUGUAGAGAAGGUGCUGCAAAGGCCACAGUUACUCAGGAAAAUUUGGGGCUGUUUUCUAGGUUCAAGAGAGACUGGACAUCAAAGCUGCACUGGGACAUGUGGACCCCUUGAUCCACUUUGGCCAUUCCACCUCAGCUCAGAAUUACUCACUAGUGUCAGAGUGAUUAAUUUCACUUUCAGUGCCUUCCUUCCCGAGUGGAGUGCUUCUGUAGAGACUCCUAAUUCAGUGAAACCUGUCCAGGGGAUCAUCCCUGCUAGACAGACAGCUGCGAGAGGCCAGUGGCUUCCCAGCAUGGAUUUCAGAUUAUGGCCAAUCAAGA